rnacentral:sRNA from 1 species
CAGACCAAGAACAUGAUAUUACGAAC